AGGACGAACGCUGGCGGCGUGCUUAACACAUGCAAGUCGAGCGAGGCCCUUCCUUCGGGAAGGUGCCCUAGCGGCGAACGGGUGAGUAACACGUGGGCAACCUGCCCCUAGCACUGGGAUAACUCCGGGAAACCGGGGCUAAUACCGGAUAUGACCUUUGAAGGCAUCUUCGAAGGUGUAAAGGAUUCUGGCUAGGGAUGGGCCCGCGGCCUAUCAGCUUGUUGGUGGGGUAAUGGCCUACCAAGGCGACGACGGGUA
rnacentral:rRNA from 1 species